CCUGUUCCCAAACCACCUAUGACGCAAAGUUUCUCAGACUCUGAGGAUUCACAUAAUGGAUAUGACCAUGAAGGGGCCUCACACAAACGUCCAUGGAAGGGCAACAGUGCCUCAGCCGGUAAAGGCAAGGCACCGGCUAAAAAUCCGGGGUUGACAAAUCCCCCACUGAUGCACUACAUGUGAAUAUUCCUUACGUCAAGGAGUCUUUUGUUAAUCAGCCUCUGGUUU